UUUCGGGGUUCCUGGGUGUCACACAGAUCUCGGUGGGACCUCCAAAUGAAAGAACCUAGUGGGGGAAACCCCCAUUCCGUUCCCGAUUCGGUGUGCACCCAAAAAUCACAAACAGACCA
rnacentral:pre_miRNA from 7 species